rnacentral:rRNA from 1 species
UACGGGGGGAGCGAGCGUUGUUCGGAAUUACUGGGCGUAAAGGGCGCGUAGGCGGUCAGGUAAGUGAGAUGUGAAAUCCUCCGGCUCACCCGGAGACAUGCAUCUCAUACUGCUUGGCUAGAGUGCGGAAGAGGAAUCGGGAAUUCCAGGUGUAGCGGUGAAAUGCGUAGAUAUCUGGAGGAACACCGGUGGCGAAGGCGCGAUUCUGGUCCGUUACUGACGCUGAUGCGCGAAAGCCAGGGGAG